UACAGAGGGUGCAAGCGUUGCUCGGAAUCAUUGGGCGUAAAGGGUUGGUAGGUGGUCUCAUUUGUCGGAGGUGAAAGCCUUGGGCUUAACUCAAGAAGUGCCUCCGAAACGGUGAGACUAGAGUUCUGGAGAGGCUAGGGGAAUUCCCGGUGUAGCGGUGAAAUGCGUAGAGAUCGGGAGGAACACCAGAGGCGAAGGCGCCUAGCUGGACAGAUACUGACACUCGAACAACG
rnacentral:rRNA from 1 species